UUAACGCUCUCCCGGUUGGGCAUACGGAUAAAAUUGUGGCCCAUGUCUAGAUUAAGACAGUAAGCUGGGUGGUCCUGUUGGAAACCAAAAUGAAAGCCAAUCAGCAGGUUGUGGCCCACAAGAAGUUCAACGUUUGAUUUUAUUCAAUUUGAUAAUUGUGCGCAGUGUGGCACCAUACACAGAUUCUUCUCCUGGCGUGCUGGAACCAGACAGGAGGCGGUUUCCAAUCAGAGGAACCUCAUUAGCUCAUGAAGAUUUUGAUGCCAGUUCCUGACCCUGCCCCCAAAUCACGAAAUCUGAGGUCAUGCUGAGGUCUGGUCAAUCAGCUUCAUGCUAAUUGGCUAGACCUCAGCAAAGCUAAAAUAUGAUUGGCUAUUUUGAAUGGCACUCAGCAGGGGCCGGCAGUUCAAAUCUACAGCCUACAAGAAGCCAUCCACAUGAACACCCGUAAGCCAGCUGUGGGACACAGCCUGCUUGGCCAGUUUCCUAAAGUCCUGCGUGGCCUUUAGACAUCCCUACUGUUGCUCCUGACUCCCUUGCGCUGUGAAAACACGCAAGCAAAAAUUGCAAAGUCACGGCAGAAAGUGGCACAGCUGAGGAAAGGGAAGGCAGCCCUGCAGCAGAAGAUGGAGUGGGAAGGUACAGUCCUAUGCCACAGGGUGGCAGUACUCGUGGUGCAAAACAUUAAGCUGGCAAAUGUGCCAGCAGAGUCAGGUAACUUGUCUAUCUGUAUAUCCCUCCCCCUUCUUUCAAAGCAGAAUGGCACGAAUGACUUUCCAGCAUUCCGGUUUGAAAGGCAGCACCCAGAGGCACAGUAACAGCAAGGUCAAGCCAUCCCUAAAUGCUUCUGGAUCCUGGAGACACAUCUGUGGACCUUUACAAUCCAAUUGAUGGCAAGGUUUAAUUACAGGGUGGGUUGAGAUCCUGGAGCAGCUGUGGGACUCAGUCCACGGCCAAUGGACAAAAUUGCAAAGUCUCUCGCUGUUAGCACCUGGAGCACUGAGAAGCUCCGGGAGACAGUCAAAUCAGAAUCUGAACAAGAAGAUGCAUUCCAUGGGCAUUUAAUACAUUUUCAUUUUGUAGAUAAAGUGUUUAUUUUAGUUUUGUUUGAUUUUGUAAAAACGCGUUUCUUUCAAUUGAGUCUUGCAUUGUUUAAUUUCUGUUUUUACAAGAAAAGUUUGAAGUCAGCUACAGUCUCUUUUAGUUUCUUGAUUAACAGUUUAGUUACAAUUCUGCACAUCAUUCCUGCGCACUUAAGGCCUACUUUACUCGGGGUGGGUUUUCUAGGAGAUUAGGAAUUCAUUCACUUAUAUAGUGAUUAUGUUGACUUAAUUCAAAUUUUCCCCAUUAUACUUGAAACCUAGCUCAGCCAGUGUCUCACUGGAUUUUCACUGUCACACACAGCAAUGACGUGGCAAAGCACAAAUUUCACCAUGGUGGAAUCACUAACAAUAAUAUCAUGGCAGAUAGUGCUCAACCCAGGGGCCAACCUGAGAUUACUGCCUCCAAUCACUAGCAACAGAUGAAACAGAAAUCAGCGCCAACAGCCUUUCAACUCUAUGGAGGACGAUUGCCCACGAGCUGGGAUCAGCUAGUUUUCAAUGAGCUGAGGUUAACUGCCCGCUAUCCGGGGAUCAGACGGCUCCCAACCUGGGCAGCCACGUGCUAACUGGGGAUUAACAGGCCUCCAAUCUGUAGGGCAGCCAUGCACAUGCUAACCGGGGAUCGACUGGCCUCCAACCUGCAGGACAGUUGCACACACUAACCGCAGAUCAACCAGGAUUGCAGUUAUAAUCCAAUGCACAGUUAUAACAGGUCCAGUAACUGUUUUUUUCCCUUUUGGAAUAGUGCCAUACAAAACAAUGAAUGAUGUCCUUGAUCUCUGCAAGAACUGUGCGGUGAUAACUCCUGUCAAUUUUGUCACAGAUACAUGCAUCUGCAACAAACAGAUUGAUUAGGGUAAAGUCAUGUAGGUUUUCCUUCAAGUUGGUUCUCUCACCACUUGCUGCAUGCCUAAUCUGGCAGAUAUGUUCUACAGAACUCAGCCAGCUCAGUCAGCAGGGGUGCUCCUGAGCCACUCUGGGUAAUGAGAUUGAAGUACCCCAUUCAGAGUUCAUUCUGUGCCCUUGGUAUCCUCAGUGGUUCUCCCAACUGAUGUUCAACAAAAAGAAAUACUGAUUCAUCAGCUGGGGGAGGGAAGUAGUUAAUAAUCAGCAAGUGGUUUUUCUGCCUGUGCUUGGCCAGAUGUCAUGAGACUUCAUGGGAUUGGGAGUCAAUGUUGAGGAAUCCUAGGUCCAUUCUUUCCUGACUGUAUGCCACUGCUGCUACCUCUGGUGAGCCUGUCCUGCUGGUGAAACAGGUGAUGCCCAGGACUGAUGGUAGUGAAGUCUGGGACAUUGGUUGUAAGGUAUGAUUUGAUGAUAAUGACUAUGUGAGGCUUUUGCUUGACUAGCCUGUGGGAUAGCUCUCCCAUUUUUGGCACAAGUCUCCAGAUGUUAUUGAAGAGAAUUUUGCAGGGUUGGCUGGCAGUGUGUGCCCCUGUCGUGUCCAAUAUCUUGGUUGAUGCUGGGUGAUCUGGCUGGUUAUAUUCUUACCCUUUCAUAAUAAUUUGAUACAAUUGAAAUGGGCUAUCAAACCAGUCAGAGGGUAGUUAAGAGUCAACCACAUUGCUGUUGGUCUGAAGUCACAUGUAGGCCAGAGGGAUAAGGAUUGCUGAUUCCCUUUCCUAACUGGCACUGGUAAAGCAAAUGGGCUUUUACAACAAUCCGGUGGUUUCAUAGUCACCAUUACUGAUACAAGCCCUAUAUCCCAGAUUUAAAUAAUUACUUGAAAUUAACUUUCUUAGCUGCCAUGAGGGGAUUUGUACUUAUGUAUCCAAAGAGUUAGUCCAGGCCUCUGGAUUACUAGUCAUAAUCACUAUCCUUCCGCUCAAAUAUGUAAAAUGAAGAGAUGUUGCUAAUCACAGUGAUGUUCAGGAGUGUAUGUUCAAACUCUAAAUUUGACAUUGACAAAUAUCCACUCAUGUGAAACUGAGUACAUGAGCUAAAAGCAAGAUCAACUCAAAAUGGAUCAGAGUUGCUGUAUAAUGUAGAUUUUGCCACCACUAUAUAAACAGAAGCCACAAUGAAUGUGAAGUAAAGCUUAUUUUGCUUUUUGUCAUUUAGAUUGAUUGCUGUUUUUCUGUGACUAAUUUGUAAUUUUUACUUAUGUUCACCAUAGCUUCAGUUUAUUUGACUUUCAUCUGUCUCAAUUCAAUACUAAGUGCAGUAGAAUUUAAAAUAAGCAAGGAUUAAGCAUACGAGACCAAUAAACAAUGUGGUUGAA